rnacentral:lncRNA from 1 species
AUAUAACUAUAUAUUUCUUUCACUUUACUAUAACUAUGUAUGAUAUAACAUUGCAUAUACAGUUAUACACAUAUUUAUACUAUAUUCCUUUUCUUAGGGACAGAUAGGUUGUUUCCCAUUGCAAUCCUUUGAUGCUUCAGUGACCAGCCUUGAAGACAACUCCUCUGGCACAAGUACAAGAGUUCUCCCAAGGCAGAUAUGGAGGAACCACUGGGUCCUAAGAUUUAAAUUUUCAAUAGGUACCACAUAGAUACUUGUGAUUCAGAAAGACAGGAGUCUGUACAGCUUUCUUUGUGAAGCUUCAGGGGACAUGUGAAGAGCUCCUCUCCUGGCUGAUGAGAAGCUGAUAGGAG